rnacentral:rRNA from 1 species
UACGGAGGGUGCAAGCGUUAUCCGGAUUCACUGGGUUUAAAGGGUGCGUAGGUGGGCAGGUAAGUCAGUGGUGAAAUCUCCGGGCUUAACUCGGAAACUGCCAUUGAUACUAUCUUUCUUGAAUACCGUGGAGGUCAGCGGAAUAUGUCAUGUAGCGGUGAAAUGCUUAGAUAUGACAUAGAACACCAAUUGCGAAGGCAGCUGGCUACACGAAUAUUGACACUGAUGCAGAAAGCGUGGGGAUCAAACAGG